rnacentral:sRNA from 1 species
UUCUCGCCGGAUCUUCUCAGUGGGUCGC